CUUGUCCUACGGGGGGCAGCAGUAGGGAAUAUUGCUCAAUGGGGGAAACCCUGAAGCAGCAACGCCGCGUGGAGGAUGAAGGUUUUCGGAUUGUAAACUCCUUUUGUUAGAGAAGAUAAUGACGGUAUCUAACGAAUAAGCACCGGCUAACUCCGCGCCAGCAGCCGCGGUAAUACGCAGGGUGCAAGCGUUACUCGGAAUCACUGUGCGUAAAGAGCGCGUAGGCGGGAUAGCAAGUCAGAUGUGAAAUC
rnacentral:rRNA from 1 species